rnacentral:rRNA from 1 species
UACAGAGGUGGCAAGCGUUGUUCGGAAUUACUGGGCGUAAAGGGCGCGUAGGUGGCCUUCUUAGUCAGACGUGAAAUCCCCAGGCUUAACCUGGGAACUGCGUCUGGUACUGGAAGGCUCGAGUUCGGGAGAGGAAUGUGGAAUUCCAGGUGUAGCGGUGAAAUGCUUAGAUAUUACAUGGAAUACCAAUUGCGAAGGCAGGUUACUACCAAUGGAUUGACGCUGAUGGACGAAAGCGUGGGUAGCGAACAGG